UUGGAAGGGACCAUCAUCAUCGACUUUUAUUGCUCUAGCCAUAGGCCAUGGCAUCAUUCAGAAAAACAACAAAAGGAAAAACAGCAGUAACCAUAAAAAUCACCAGGCACCACACACGCAAUAUAAACCACGGUCAAAACUACUAAGAUUGUUUGUUGCAUAAAAUAGAAUAGCAGAAGGUUCUCUAGUAAAAUGUGCCAAAUUAAAUAUCCGAAUCCCCUUUGCAGUUGACCACUAUUUUAUCUAGUUCUUUCCUCCUGAUCUUCUUGGCUGCCAACGCAUAGAUAGUGCGUACCCUGGAAAUGAUCUCUUUCAGCUUCUGCCUUCUGGAAGAAGGUACAGGGUUAUAAAGACUAGGACUAGCCGCCUGAGAAACAGUUUCUAUCCAAAUGUGAUUUUGGUUUUAAACGCAGUGUAAGGUAGUCUCUAUGGGAGUAUAUUGUAUUUAAUUAUGGGGUAUCGGAGUUUUUAGGGGGCUAACCAGGCUGGGAUAGCUGGGAUAGAAGGCUUGUUGGUUUUUGAAUGUCUGAUGUAGAUUUUCUCGAUUUUGUUGUUCUGUAUGGGACAAUGGGGUUGCGGGUGGCGCUGUGGGUUAAACCACAGAGCCUAGGACUUGCCGAUCGAAGGUUGGAGGUUCGAAUCCCCGCGACGGGGUGAGCUCCCGUUGCUCGGUCCCUGCUCCUGCCAAUCUAGCAGUUCAAAAGCACGUCAAAGUGCAAGUAGAUCAAUAGGUACCACUCUGGCGGGAAGGUGAACGGCGUUUCUG